rnacentral:rRNA from 1 species
AGUUUGAUCCUGGCUCAGGAUGAACGCUAGCGGCAGGCUUAACACAUGCAAGUCGAGGGGUAACAGGAAGGAGCUUGCUUCUUCGCUGACGACCGGCGCACGGGUGCGUAACACGUAUGCAACUUACCUCUAACAGGGGGAUAGCCCAGAGAAAUCUGGAUUAAUACCCCAUAACAUUACGAAUUCACAUGUUUUUGUAAUUAAAGCUCCGGCGGUUAGAGAUAGGCAUGCGGCCCAUUAGUUUGUUGGUAAGGUAACGGCUUACCAAGACUACGAUGGGUAGGGGUUCUGAGAGGAUGACCCCCCACACUGGUACUGAGACACGGACCAGACUCCUACGGGAGGCAGCAGUGAGGAAUAUUGGACAAUGGGCGAAAGCCUGAUCCAGCCAUGCCGCGUGCAGGAUGACGGCCCUACGGGUUGUAAACUGCUUUUAUAAGGGAAGAAACUUCCGCUCGUGAGCGGAACUGACGGUACCUUACGAAUAAGCACCGGCUAACUCCGUGCCAGCAGCCGCGGUAAUACGGAGGGUGCAAGCGUUAUCCGGAUUUAUUGGGUUUAAAGGGUUCGUAGGCGGGACUUUAAGUCAGUGGUGAAAGCCUAUAGCUCAACUAUAGAAUUGCCAUUGAUACUGAAGUUCUUGAGUACACUUGAAGUUAGCGGAAUGUAUCAUGUAGCGGUGAAAUGCAUAGAUAUGAUACAGAACACCGAUUGCGAAGGCAGCUAACUAAAUUGUCACUGACGCUGAGGAACGAAAGCGUGGGGAGCGAACAGGAUUAGAUACCCUGGUAGUCCACGCUGUAAACGAUGAUCACUCGAUAUUGGCCAUUAGGUCAGUGUCCAAGCGAAAGUAUUAAGUGAUCCACCUGGGGAGUACGACCGCAAGGUUGAAACUCAAAGGAAUUGACGGGGGCCCGCACAAGCGGUGGAGCAUGUGGUUUAAUUCGAUCAUACGCGAGGAACCUUACCAGGGUUUAAAUGCAGGACGACCGGUCUGGAAACAGACCUUUCUUCGGACGGUUUGCAAGGUGCUGCAUGGUUGUCGUCAGCUCGUGCCGUGAGGUGUCGGGUUAAGUCCCAUAACGAGCGCAACCCCUAUCUUUAGUUGCCAGCGGGUUAAGCCGGGGACUCUAAAGAAACUGCCAGCGUAAGCUGUGAGGAAGGUGGGGAUGACGUCAAAUCAUCACGGCCCUUACGUCCUGGGCUACACACGUGCUACAAUGGCGGAGACAGUGAGAUGCAAACUCGUGAGGGUGAGCAAAUCUAAAAACUCCGUCUCAGUUCGGAUCGAAGUCUGCAACUCGACUUCGUGAAGCUGGAAUCGCUAGUAAUCGCGUAUCAGCAAUGACGCGGUGAAUACGUUCCCGGGCCUUGUACACACCGCCCGUCAAGCCAUGGAAGCUGGGGGUGCCUGAAGUCGGUUACCGUAAGGAGCUGCCUAGGGCAAAACUGGUGACUGGGGCUAAGUCGUAACAAGGUAGCCGUACCGGAAGGUGUGGCUGGAAUACCU